GUUGAGAGGAACGCUGUCUGGGUCGAGGUCAUGGAGGCCAUGAUUAUACAUAAAUGGCAUUAUCUGAUGACAGCCCAGAUAAUCGAUGCACCUUUCUUGAACCUAAAUGAUUCUCGGACCAGGCUCCAUUCCUUCCAAC
rfam:Populus trichocarpa isolate Nisqually-1 chromosome 5, whole genome shotgun sequence.